ACGGAGGGUGCUAGUGUUAUUCGGAAUCACUGGGCGUAAAGAGCACGUAGGCGGAUAGGUAAGUCAGAUGUGAAAUCCCGGGGCUCAACUUCGGAACUGCAUUUGAUACUGCCUGUCUUGAGUGUGGUAGAGGUGGAUGGAAUUCCCGGUGUAGAGGUGAAAGUCGUAGAUAUCGGGAGGAACACCAGAGGCGAAGGCGAUCAACUGGGCCACAACUGACGCUGAGGUGCGAAAGCGUGGGGAGCAAACAG
rnacentral:rRNA from 1 species